GACGAACGCUGGCGGCGUGCCUAAUACAUGCAAGUCGAACGAGUGGCGGACGGGUGAGGAAUGUCUGGGAAACUGCGGGAUGGAGGGGGGUAACGGUUGGAAACGGUGGCUAAUACCGCAAACGAUCAGAUGGGCCUAGAUGGGAUUAGCUGGUAGGUGGGGUAAUGGCUCACCUAGGCGACGAUCCCUAGCGGGUCUGAGAGGAUGACCAGCCACACUGGAACUGAGACACGGUCCAGACUCCUACGGGAGGCAGCAGUGGGGAAUAUUGCACAAUGGGCGCAAGCCUGAUGCAGCCAUGCCGCGUGUAUGAAGAAGGCCUUCGGGUUGUAAAGUACUUUCAGCGGGGAGGCGUUACCCGCAGAAGAAGCACCGGCUAACUCCGUGCCAGCAGCCGCGGUAAUAC
rnacentral:rRNA from 1 species